UACGAAGGGGGCGAGCGUUGUUCGGAAUUACUGGGCGUAAAGGGCGCGUAGGCGGUGCAUCAAGUCAGGCGUGAAAGCCCCGGGCUCAACCUCGGAACUGCCUUUGAUACUGGGGAUCUCGAGUCCGGGAGAGGUGAGUGGAACUGCGAGUGUAGAGGUGAAAUUCGUAGAUAUUCGCAAGAACACCAGUGGCGAAGGCGGCUCACUGGCCCGGAACUGACGCUGAGGUGCGAAAGCGUGGGGAGCAAACAGG
rnacentral:rRNA from 1 species